rnacentral:rRNA from 1 species
UACGAAGGGUGCAAACGUUGCUCGGAAUCAUUGGGCGUAAAGCGCACGUAGGCGGCUUGUUAAGUCGGGUGUGAAAUCCCUGGGCUCAACCCAGGAAGUGCACUCGAAACUGGCGAGCUUGAGUAUGGAAGAGGGUCGCGGAAUUCCCGGUGUAGAGGUGAAAUUCGUAGAUAUCGGGAGGAACACCAGUGGCGAAGGCGGCGACCUGGGCCAAUACUGACGCUGAGGUGCGAAAGCGUGGGGAGCAAACAGG